rnacentral:rRNA from 1 species
AAUCAACGCUGGCGGCGUGCCUAACACAUGCAAGUCGAACGAGAAAGUGGAGCAAUCCAUGAGUAAAGUGGCGCACGGGUGAGUAACACGUGACUAACCUACCCUUGAGUGGGGAUAACCUAGGGAAACCUGGGCUAAUACCGCAUAAUACCUACGGGUCAAAGGAGCAAUUCGCUUUAGGAGGGGUCGCGGCAGAUUAGUUAGUUGGCGGGGUAAUGGCCCACCAAGACGAUGAUCNGUAUCCGGCCUGAGAGGCGCACGGACACACUGGAACUGAAACACGGUCCAGACUCCUACGGGAGGCAGCAGUGGGAAUUUUGCGCAAUGGGGAAACCCUGACGCAGCAACGCCGCGUGGAGGAUGAAGACCCUU